CUAGGCCAGGACUCUGAUGGGUCAAACAGCCCAACAACAACUAAGGAAAAAAGUUUGGGCCAGGACUCUUCUUCAACCCGUCCUCUUCUUCAACCCAUCCUCUGGACUCGAGGAAUCCUCCUCCGCCCUCCUCCUCGCGUGAACCAGCUGAUCUGCCAAGAUCAUGGUAGCACCUAUGGCGAGUGCGGCGCGGAGCUCGCUCAAGGUCGAUGCGCCCCGUGGUGGUGGCAUUCGAGGCGGGUCGGCCCGAGCUGGGUCGAUCUGACCGCCGCCGCCAGUCAUGUUUCUUGAUCCCGUGGACGACCUCAACCAUAACAAGCAGGAUAGCUGCAAUGAAUUGUGGACGGGAGCAGCAGCGUCCUAUGGGCGGGCGCCGGCGACGUUCUUCGCCUCAUGGACGUGCUCCGCGUGGAUACCGACAAGGACGUCUACAUCUCCCUCCCCAGGGGUUCUAUCGACGCUGCUAGGUCGCCGGCAUCACCGCUGGAUGCGCCACAUCUAGCCUUUCCCUACUUGCUAGCCAAUGGACUGCUGCUCUCCUAGACGAGCUACGGCGGCCGCCCACAGGGUGUUUGACGAAAUUCCCAUCAAGGAUGGCAUCACUUGGGAGACCAUAGAGUCCAAUAGAGGUUUCCACAGUGAAGCAGUAAGGCUUUUGACCUGCAUGUGUCACGAAUCACAGGGACUCGCUGGUGGUCUGCUCGGCCAUGCCAUUGUCCAUGUUCUUGGCUGAGCAAACCAAGGAACUUUAGUGAACUGUUGCAGGCAAAGGAAGUUGGUGCUGCUGGCAGAGAAAUAUUAGGAUUAGUAUAGCAUGAUUAUCGUAGUUUCCUUGAUUUGUUUUGGUUUAGAUUAGUACAUCAAUGCACUGAUAUUUCUUUUGUGGUGCAGGCGCUUCAAGAUAACAAGGACAGCAGGCUUCGCGACAACUCAUUCGUCUACGAUGUCCUCACCAAAUCUGAAAUUAUUUGGCUCCUAAAUUCUAAUCCAUGUGAGCAAGCCGCCCCUUCUUCUUCCCCCACCAAUGGCCGCUUCCAAAUCAGGUUGAAAGUCCAGGUCACUCCCCAAAUAUUAGGUAGAGAUAUGUUCUGCUAGAUGUGUCCAAAUCACUCUAUUAUUCCAGUACAUUAAUCAUUCUUUUUGAGUGUUUAAGUGAACAAUAUCUAAUAUUUGACUCUCAGUUAAGUUUGGUCUUCUUUGGGUAAUUUAUACAGCAUAGCGCCUGUAAGAGUUGGCUGCAGAUCCACUAUUUCCCUCUCUGUUUUUACUGCAAUAUAAUGCAUAUACCUAGAGCUAGCAUCUCAGGGACCACAAAUUCAGCAUCUGCUCCUAUAACUUCCAUGUCAGUGCAAAUGUUAUUAUGAUUAUGUUUCAGCAAUAAUAACCUCAUGUACUAUUUGAAAGUUCAUUGCAGGUUGUUAUUGUUCCUUUAUUUGCAUUGAAUCGAGGUUGUGAAACAUGCUAAAUCUAGUAGAGAAGAUAAAGUUAUUGCCUGGUACCAAGGACGGAUGUGCACUCCUUUACUGCUGUUUUUUCCAUUUGAGUGGAAACACUAGGCUUAUGGCUGAUCGUCAUGCUCUAGCCGAGGAACGAAUGGAGUUACCAAGAAAUAGAGGAGGAAGUCCAUCACCUGAACAUGAUCAUUGCAAAGAUUAAUGACAAGAAUGGAGCUUAUAUCACUAUAUCAGCGAGCUCGUUGACAAGAGAAGGAAGGAAAGAACCUUCUACAAAGGUUGCAUCACUCAUCAAUGAGAUUAGUAGGGAGAGAUCAAAUAGAUAACAAGAACUUACACAUGCAAGGUACACACCACGACACACGGUCUCUUUUGUUGGACCAGACUCUCAAGUAUCCUAGUAAAUCAGUUGCGGAAUGGAAAGUUGAUUAUCAUUGGUUUGUAUUUCGCAAGAAUGCAUGUGAAUUAUAGCAUCUAGAAGUGGAAUUUCGAGUUGGUGGAACAAGGUAAAGUAAUGUAAAAGAGUAGGAUUUUGACGGCGCAAGAAAUUCAACAACUGCGGGCCAAAUUAGCUAAUUUUGAUGGCAGGCUAGGGGGCACAAGUAUGCUAUUCGGAUCAACUAUAGCGUUUGUAAAUUCAGUUAUCAUUUCUACAUGUAUUUUCCUUUCUUUACUAUAAUGUCUUGCCUGGAUUUGACGUUGUACAUGCACAAUAUGGUGCGGUUUCA